rnacentral:rRNA from 1 species
GAUGAACGCUGGCGGCGUGCUUAACACAUGCAAGUCGAACGAUGAAGCCCAGCUUGCUGGGUGGCUUAGUGGCGAACGGGUGAGUAACACGUGAGUGACCUGCCCUUGACUCUGGGAUAAGCCUGGGAAACUGGGUCUAAUACUGGAUAUGACUUCUCAUCGCAUGGUGGGGGGUGGAAAGAUUUAUUGGUCUUGGAUGGACUCGCGGCCUAUCAGCUUGUUGGUGAGGUAAUGGCUCACCAAGGCGACGACGGGUAGCCGGCCUGAGAUGGUGACCGGCCACGCUGGGACUGAGACACGGCACAGCCUACUAUGGGAGGCAGCAGUGGGGAAUAUUGCAUAAUGGGAUCAAGCCUGAUGCAGCGCAGCAGCGUGAGGGAUGACGGCAUUCGGGUUGUAAACCUCUUUCCGUAGGGAAGAAGCGAGAGUGACGGUACCUGCAGAAGAAGCGCCGGCUAACUACGUG